UAUAUAGAAUCAAAGAAUGUAGUGCUAUGUUAAACAUCGCAUUUUUAGCUACAACAGUAUUCCAAAGUCUGCAUAGCCCACUGCUUGUGCACACUGUUUCCAAGCUACUGCUUGUUGGCAAGCCAUUGUGCAUCUUAAAAUUUUCUGAGCAUGCUGUUUAAGAAUAACUGUGCUCCUUAAAUGUCAUUCUCUUUUGCGUUUGUCAAACAUGCUAGUGGUGUGGGUGAAUUUGGUCUGCAGCCUUCUUUUGUGCUAACAUUAGAUAGUUUCUGUACAUCCUACAAGGUCUGUCUUGCCAGCUUAUGUACUUACUCUGCUUAUUUACAGCAUGCCAGUGUACCUGAAACUGCUCCCAGAAGUCAUCAGUCUCACUUUGUACCAUAUUCGAUUAAGAGCUGUGUACCCACAAUAUUUAGCAUCCUGUAUUCAUUCUGUCUUCUCCCGGGAUCAGAAGGCCACAGGCUAGCAGAAGGAGGAGAAAGAAGGCAUAGCCUCAGCUGCAGGAGAACUGAGGAGACACAGGUAGCAUGAUGGAGAGACAGUUCAGCAAGAGUUUACUGAUGCAAAACCAUUAACGUAUAAGGGAAAAGUAGUACAAUAUUAGACUAAAUAUAGCGUGACAAUUCCCAUUUUUAUCUGCCUUUGUAGUGCAAAUGAUUCUUCAUGAUACGUAUCUGGAUCUUUCAGUUACUUCAGCAUACAUAUGUAAUAGGAGGAUCGUCAGGGUUUAGAAUGGAAGUGAGAAGGUUGUCUUUCCAACCAAAUCUUUCGAAACCCAAUGCUGGCAGUUGUCAGGUGUAUUAACAUUUCUCUGCAGUGCUCUUGGUGCGUUUUUGUGAUAGGAAUGUAGAGAAAAUGACACAUUUGCUAUUUUUUGUCUCCAUCUUUUAGGCGGCUGCUUUUGCCAGUGGUGAUUCCUUGCAUAUAGCUGCUAAAAUUUCUUACUAAUCCUGCAUGGUGUGCUCUCCUCGGAGCUGGACCUUUUUAAAAAAUUCCAACAACUGCAUAUGUUUGACGGGCUUGUAUUUGUACAAACAACUUUGUAGUGACUCUGCCCAGACUGAACUAGUGAUUUGGUUAAAGCAUGUUUGGAAGAGAAAGAACAUGUGGCUCCCACGUAUGGGAGAACUGACAGGACGUUGUUUGGUCUCAUUAACAACUUGCCAAGACCUUGAAGGCUGUACUCACUUAGCUGGAAUCUGAGAACUUGUAAAGUGGUGAUGUGUAGCCUCAGCCUGUAAUGAGUCAUGUUGAGAUUGUCUCAAAGCAGCAUGCAAUGCCAUGUGCUCAGAUUAAAAUGAGCACUGCAUGCUGAGCCAUGGAGUGCCAGGCACUUAACUACCCCUGAUCUGUCUACUUUAUUGAUUUGUUUUUCCUUUUAAGGUUGGUUGCCUGGUUCAUGCGAGAAUCUGCUGUGCUCUGGCUGUCCUCAAAGCUUGAAAUCUAUCAUCCAUUCUGGCUACUAGUGACCGAAACUAGGACAAUUCAAAGUUUCCCUAGAGGAAGGGAUAGAUGCUUCUUGAAUGCAACAGUUCUGGAGAGAUGAGAAAAUCUUCCAAAAAUCCAUGCAUUUUUGCAGGGGCUGUUCUACAGCUUUGUACAACACUGGCAGCAGGAGGAGAGUAUUUUCCUCUUGAAUCCUAAACUAGGGUGAUUGGCAGUAUUCUUGCCUGAUCUAACCGUCAUCAGGGGUUCCCUACCUGUACUGUAGAAAAGGCUAAUCCAGAUUUUGAUUGUUUUUCAUUGCUCCCUCAAAACCAGAAUUGAUUUUUGUCUAUUUUAUCUACAGCAACAACUCUGCUCUUUAAUGGUGUUGUGUAAAAUGUAGCCCAUCAGGCAAACAACUAAGCACUUAAAAGCUAUCUUAGAUUAGUAAGGGGUAUAGCUACCUGGCUAGUUAACACAUUCUUUUGCUGUUCGUGACAGUGUCUCCUUGCUUUGGUAUUCAGUUAGGAGGAAUAUUGCUCAAAUAUCUGUCCCAGACAAAUCUGACAGUUGUUGUGGAUCAAUUUUGACUGUAAAUCUGCUCUGGCUGAGCAGUAUAAUAUACUGAAGAGAUGCACAGAUGAACGUAAAACGAAGCCUUUCAAAAAUAUUUUCUUUAAAAAAUACAAAAUCAGAUCACUGCAGAAUACUGCUUAAAUUCACCCAUAUAGCACAAACCUUACAGACAAGCGAGGUCAAAAGCUACACAGAUCAGGCCAUUACUUGGCUUCCUGGCGUCUCUGUGUGUGUUGAGAGAAAUGGAAAGUUAACUUCCACUGUGUUAGCUGUUGUAGGGUUUGUUUUUCAUGAAUGGGCUAUAUUUGUAUUUAGCCCCUUUUAAACUUGAGUCCUACAGAAUAUUUAAUGUUUAGCAUAGGAAGAGGUAUGGGGCUCAUGGUGGAGGGAAGAUAAUACAAAGAGCGAAACAAACACGGGACACUGUUGCCUUUAUUUUCGUAGUGGUACUUAAACCAAGAAUUCCCAUGGCUUAAUCAGAAACAUAUUUGUGAAGUGUAUUGUGUGAAGUCAAGGAACCAAAUACUAGCCAUUCAAUCUUCACAGCAUAUACUCUACUGCAAUCCAGUGUAGGCGGGUAUUUAAUGUUAAGAAAUUACUAAGUAGGUAUUUUAUCUGAUGUUAGGGGGAAAAAAAAAAAUCAAGCACACUGGAGGAGUCACUGAGGACAAGCCUUUGUCUUUGAAAUUUACGUGUGCUUGUUUACCUUGCUUUCUUUCUGUCUUUCUGCAGAACAAAAAUUGAAAAAAAAAAAUAAAUAAAUAAAUAAAGGCAACUAUCUUUGAGGCACAAACUGAAAUUCAGGCUGGAGUGCUGCUUACCUUGCUGCUCUAUAUGUAGUCCCAGAGUACCCUGAAAGAGACAUUUCUAGUCUAUCUUAUCUGCUGGCAGGAUUUGAGAGUUUAAAUUCAGAUGUUUCUAUGUUUUGGGCACUGUUCCCAGGCAUCACAAAGCAAGUUAUUGCUUCUAGACGUGUCGUAAUAAAACAACCUCCUAUUGUAGUGGGUGGCGAGGAAGGAGGACAGUGAAGGCUUCAGAUAGUCAACCUCCUUGAUUUUCCCCUCCCUGUUUUUAAUUAUGGAACAGAUGUUUUGGGGGUUGUUUGUUCUUUUUUUUGUUUUUGGUUUUUUUUUUGCUUUGUUUUGUUUUAAGAUUUCUAUGCUGCUAUAAAGUAUUGCUGAAUUCAGAAAGUUUUGCAUGCAUGUCCCUUAUUAAACUGCACGGUGUUCACAUUUAAAUAGGUUUAUCUGCCUCUUUUUCAUGUUUUAUUUAUCGCUUCCUUAUAUUUCAUAAGGAGAUUUUUUUUUUGUCAGGGAUUUUUUUUGCAUCAGGGACUAGUCUGUUACACAGUGCUGAGGUAUUUCUGUCUGUUAAUAUGAACAAGAAAUCUGGCUAUAAAUGGUUGGCAUCUGUGUGUUUUAAAAGGUUUAAUCAGAACUGCUGUAAUGAGACACAUAGAUAAUCUUUAAAUCUAUAGCUAAGCCAAUUUAGAGGCAUCUUUUUGGCUACAAAUCACAUUAAAAACUAUUUCCCUACAAGUGAGAACAGUUGUUUUACAAUAUAAUCCUCUUAAUUGAAAACCUGUUGUUGGAAUAAAUAACGAAAGAAUGAACUCUUGUAUGCUUCAUUUUGUGUGCUUAAGUCUAAAUUUUGACCAUGCAAAUCGUACUGUUGCUUGCUGUGCACCAAACCAAAGCUUGUUAUGUAGUGAACUCGUAGGACUGCUUGCUUUCGAGUGUGCCCCUCAUCAUCUUUGGAGAAGUUGCCAUUGGCUGCUCAUCUAAGGGAGGAAUUUAAGAUGAGGUAGGAAUGUAUGAAAACUUGUAAAAUGCUUGAUACUGCUUUUCAUUAUUUGUGCUCUUUAAUUCUUUCGUUAGAAAAAUGUCCUGCCUUAUGCCCUUGAGAAUGUUUUGUUUUUGUGUGUGUGUGUGGUUUUUGUUCUUUUGUUUAGUUUUUGUCUUGUAACCUCUAGUUUUGCAAAGGAGGGUUUAUAUUAAAGGAAAAAUGCUGGAAAUAAGCAGUGCUUCCAUGUGGGGAGAAAACAUACCAAAGCUUAGUCUAAAUUUUAGGGCGCUACAGUCAUCAUUCUCUGCCAGUAAAAAUACUUGAAGCUUGAGAGGGAACUUAAUACACUCUGUCCUUUGUUAUUCUAAAAGAAUAGCUAUGAUGGCAUGAGGGCAGCAGAUGGGAUUUUUAGUGAUUACCCAGUGCAUUACAAAUGUAAAAGAUAUUGGAGGUACAUUUGUAUUAUCGUUACAAAGCCUAGUCAUGCUUUGAAACUACUGGUCAAGUUAUUGGCUUCAGGGAGAGCAAGACUCACCUCUGGGUGGGCUGGCUUGCUUCAGAGUCUGCAGCAAGGCCUCUCUGUUACGCUUCUGCAGAUGUAGCCUGUCCUGCUUUGUAUCUUUUCCGAGCCCUGGAGUACACAGUGCAUAUCUCAUCAGACUUGUGUAUUUCUCCUCAGUUAAAUAUAGACCUAUCAAACGUUCACAUGUCAGCAGUGCGUAGCGAGGUAAUUGUAAUUAACAACUUCUACUUUUCUUCUGUCUUUAAUUCCCUGCUUCGAUUGUCACUAUUAAUCAUUUUCACCAAAAAGAAACUGAGAACUCCUUUGUUAGUUUCGUUAUUUUUACACUCCUGUGUGUGGUAAGCACAAAAGUGACUUUGAUUCUGCUUCUGGGGUGUAGUUCGGUGCUGCAGAUCGAGCAGCUCUGGCAGCUUCCUGAUGACAGUCUCGUUCCGUCAGAAGUGGUUUGCUCUUUCCACUUUCAAAGCUCCGUUAACGUGAUUUUAUUUUUUGAAGUGUAAAGAUGUAUUUUUUUCUGUAAUUAGAAAGGAAGGAAAACAGUAAGAAAAGGAAGGCAUGAACUUUAGAGCAAAAAAAAAAUCUUAAUAAAAGCACAAUAAGUUAUAAUUAAAGUGAGCAGAACAGCAAGAUCUGCUAAAGAUAGGUCUCUUUUUUAGUUUCUGCUCAAGCUAUUGCUUUUAAAAGUAAUCUUAAAAUAACUGGCAUGUUUUUUUCCCCUUAGCAAAUGUGUAAUUCUAAAGAAUGUUAAUUUCUUUUGCAACCAAAUAUCCACUCAUAUGUGAUCAGAAUAGCACGGUGGUGGUUAAUAGCUUACAAGAUCUUUACAAAAUGAUCUGUUCACCUUGAAACGUCAAGGUAAUUGGGAUGUGUGGUGUGUAAUCACCAGAGUUAGUGCUGUGAAAGUCAAAGCCCACAUUUUAGAUGUUGUCUGAAGGAUGCUCCCUCAAACAGCAUUUCCCCAUAACGCUGCCCUGGCUUUCUGGAGCAAGCACCCCCAGAAUUUUCACAUGAUCUAAUAAGUGCAUUAAUUAUUAUUCAUUUUCAUAGCUAAAGUGAUAAUAUACCACCCUCUUUAAUUGUUUGACUCAUGUCUUUUUGCAUCUGCAUAAGCAGCAACUAGCAAAAGGAAAAAGAAGGCUACUUACUGGUGCGCUGCUCCGGAGAUGUCUAGAGAUGAGGCUGUUCACCUGCAUUCAGGGAAUCAAACCUCUCUCCAUUGAGCUCAGUGAUACGUCAUUCCUGCUACCAAAAAAAAA